CUCUCCCCGCCCUCCCUGCCCGCCUGUCCCAACCCCAGCCCUGCCCGUCACCUCAGCAGCUGGAGCGGACGCAGGACGACUAUGAAGUAGAAGGGCUCCAUGUUGAAGGCCAGCGCCAGCAGUCCCAGGAAGGCGAAGGCUGUGACGGAGAAGUCGAACCUCGGGGGGGAGAGGGAGAGGGGUCUGGGCCCAGCCGGCCUCCCCACCACGGCUGGCGUCCGGCCCCGGCUCAGCUCGCCCUUCCAAGGAGCCCACGUGCCAACCACAGCGAAAGCAAGUGUGCCCCGCGGAGGCCCGUGGCCGGCAGGUUCCAGCCGGAGGACAGGUACUCCACGGGGCCCAGGCCAGCCACCUUCAGGAACAGCUCCACCCCGUAGACUGUGAACAGGAGCGGGAGCGGGCAGUUGGCCGUGUCCUCCCACACCGGGCCUGGUCAGUUUCCUCUCUGAGACCCUUGAGGUCUCCAGCCUCCCCCUCAGGCUGUGCGCCCUCUGGACAGCCACGCUCCACGGGAGAGUGUGUGCUCCACUCCCUCCCCCUCUCUGGGCAUGGCCCAGCCACCCUUCUGUCCGCCCAGCAGGUAUUGCCUGCACCUCUUCGGUGCCAGGCAUUGUGCUGGGUGCUGGACGUGCAAAAGUGACCAGCACGGUGCAGUGCCCCCUCCUACAGAGCUCAGAGUGCAGACAGGAGGAGACUGUGAGUGGGCGAUGACACAGCGCCCUCAGGGUUAUAGGAGGAGGAGGGGAAUGUCGGUCAGGCGGAGGAACACCCUGCAAAGGGCCUGAGGUAAGAAAGGGCACGGGCACUCGGGAGCAGGGCACUGCUCAGGAGGGCUGCAGGGUGGGGCCUGGUGGCUGAGGGACCCCGCUUGGCCGGGGAUGUGAGCACCUCGGGAUGGAGAUGAGAUGGAGGGCAGAGGAGCCAGGGAAGAGUCUGAAACGGGUGGGAUGGAAUCAGACCCAGUUUCUGCUUCCAGAAGCCUCCCCGUUUCAGAGCCAUGAGGUCCUAAACCAAUGAACGUCCUCCCACCAGUGUUUAAGACAAGCCGGUGGCAAAGCCAAGUCCAAACAAGAGACUUACUAGUGAGAAAGACGAGGGAACUCCAGGGCACGUGCUUGGAGAAGAAGUUCCCCCCUGUAGGACAGAGAGGCCGCAGCUCAAGAGGCAGGCCAGGCGUGCGCACGGGCGGGCCAGGCCCCCAGCGGGCUCACCUCUCAGCAUGAAGGUCUCGGCGAGGACCCAGACCCCAUUGACUGCCACCACCAAGUCUGCAAUAGAGAGAGAAGCACAGGCCUGUUGGAAACCUACAGGUCACAGCUGGUUAACUUCUGGGCCGCUCCACACACCCAUGGGACAGGGACACCAGUUAAGAUGUUCCGGUAAAACCUACUAUUCUAAGUCAGUAUCGACGACGGACAAUACACAAAGGGUUUGAGUAUUGAAAGAAUUUGCUUUUCCCUUGAGAUGUCUGGUUUUUAAAAUGACUGCACAGUUAGCAAAAUGCCUAUGGACCUGGCCUUUCGCUGAGCAAUCCCACUGCUAGGAACCCAUCCCAACAAGACAACACCAGCAAAAAACACAACACCAGGUACCCAUCCCAAUGAGACACCAGCAAACACACGCCUGGUACCCCUCCCAACGAAACACCGGCAAACACACAGCACCGGGUACCCAGAAAGCUGCUCGCUCGAGAACUACUUGUGACGGCAAAACAUGAGACCCCACCCAGGUGGUCAGGACGGUGCCGGUGGAAUAAACUACGAUGCGGUCAGGACACGGUGCAUCCCGCCCGGGCCAGGUGGCUCAGUUGGUUGGAGCACCAUCCCGUGCAUCGGAAGGUUGUGGGUUCGAACCCCAGUUGGGUGUGUACGAGGGGCAACCAAUCAAUGCUUCUCACAUUGAUGUUUUUCUCUCUCUCCCUUCCAUUCUCUCUAAAUAUCAAUAAGAAGACAUAUCCUUGGGUGAAGAUUAAAAAAAAAAAAAGAGGGCCUAUCAACUAUAAAAAUAAAGGGGGACAUCUCUAUAUAUUACUGUGGCGUGGUCUCCAGGAUUUAUUAUUAACCAAAAAAAAGUGUGUAAAGUCUGCUAUCAUUUAAUGAAGACAGAGAGAUAUAUAUAUAUAUAUAUAUAUAUAUCCCCCCCAUUCAGAGAUUUUAAAACAUGGACGGAUAAGCCAUGAUAAAAGGUGCCCAUUGGGGGAGGUGACAAGAUGUAAAAUUACGGGAAAUAAGUCACAGGGGGUAUGCACAAACAAACAAGAGGAAAGAGGAACAGUCCUGGUUCUCCAACUAUACAGUGCCAGAGGGAGAAGCGGGACGGAGGAGGAGCCUACAGAUUAAAACAGGCCCAAGUGACUUAUCCACCCAUCACACCCUGUGGUUCUGGAAUUUGCUUCCAAAUCUCGGGGCCUAGAGGGUAUAGCAAGCCCGAGUGAGGGCGCAGGUGCACAAGAAAGACUGGCCACUGGGUGGUGAGUGCCUUGGCUGGGUGCCGGGCACGUGACGUCCCCCGGAACUUUCUAUGAUGAGCAGUCCACACAGCGCCUGCGGGACCGAUCUCCGGCCUCCCACCCUCUGGGGGAGUGAGACCCGGGAGCAGAGGGCCCAGAGCUGGGUGGGUCCCACUUACACAUUAAAUACUGAAAGGCUUUGGACUUCACCAGGAUGUUAACUCCUGUUGGAAGAGAGGAAACGUUAGCAUCGAAGUCUUCAUGUGCAAGUACGCGCUCCCCGACGUCAUAGUGCUGCACAUAAGCCACCAGGGUAUUUAUGUCCAGGGGAGAAAACAGAAGGGCCUGUUCUGCCAAUGACACUCAGACACCCAAACACAGCGGCACAGACCACCGCUGCUCUGGGGACAGACUGGGCAACCCAGGCCGGGACAGAACAGAACACGGCGUUGUUGCCACUGCUGAAACCCACAAUCCUGCAGGCCUCGGCCUGGGACGGUUUCCUCAUCCACUUGAGUCACUAUCAUCUCAGCAGAAUGGAAACCCGUGAGAGAAUAUGAGAUAACAGCUGCGCCCAGCGCCCCAGCGGUGGGAGAAAUCACAAACAAGGCUCUCCCAUCGUUACUCGUGUUCAUGGUGGCCCAGACCCAGGCUUCGGGCCUUCUACACGAGAAACUCCGUGAGCCCACACCCCCACGUACAACUUCAAAGCUGGCAUUAAGUGAAGGGGGGACUGUUUAAUACGGGCGCUCGGAUGUAAAAUGGUUGAAUUUUAUACUGCGCAAGGGAUCACGUACACUGGGUAUACACCCUGUCACAGGGGAGAGGGCAAAAUACACAUACUGCAGUCCCACCAUUUUAAAAUGUGCAGAAAAAGUAACCAAUGUCAGAAAGCAACACAUCCGAACACUCACAGUGGUUAUUUCUGGGUGGGAGACUGUCUUCUGCUAUCAGACUUGGUAACCUUCCUUUAAUGAACUGGAUGGUCCACAGACGUCUUUUGGUUUGGUUUUGAAGUUGCCGAUUUCCUUCCUGGUCCCUAACACUAUGUCCCUGCUGGGGAAUCACACUCUCCUGCCGCCACGACACACCUUCAGGGGGAACCUUACCUUUGAAGAUGAGGAAGGCUGUCCGGGGAAGCUCAUCGAACCAGUGUUCUCGAUUCUUCUUCGCCUGCCCAGGAAACAGGGCCGUGAGAGAGGGGUUCGGACCAGGGAUGAGAACCUGACCCAGGGGGCCAGGAGGCCACGGUCCUUCCCUGCUCACCAGGCUCUCACUUGGGGAACAGGAAGAACACUCCGGGUCUAAGUAACAAUAAGGCCAGCCAAUGGCUACAGAUCAUUUCCAUGGGCCACGCACGUGCCUUAUUUUAUAUCGUCCUGAAAAAAGCUGGAGGUCAGAACUGCUGUUAGCCCAUUUCCCAGGUGCGACGACCUGGCCAAAGUCAGAUAAGUGGCCCCAAGUCACAGGGUGACUAAUGGGGCCGAGAUUCAGUGCGUGACCAGGACACUGUAUCACACGUGUAAAGGCAGAUGGGAGGCCCCGGGCCACCUGGGGCCCCUGAAGUGCCCAGAACUGAGGUGUUGUUCCAGCCAGGAAAGAAUUGGACCUCGGCCCGGCUGCAGUGGCUCAGUGGUUGAGCACCGACCUAUGAACCAGGAGGUCAGGGUUCGAUUCCCGGUCAGGGCACGUGCCCAGGUUGUGGGCUUGGUCCCCAGUGUGGGGUGUGCAGGAGGCAGCCGAUCCAUGAUUCUCUCUCAUCACUGAUGUUUCUCUCUCCCUCCACCUUCCUCUCUGAAAUCAAUAGAAAUAUAUUUUAAAAAUAAAAAAAGAACUGGCCCUCGGGUGCCUGUCGGCCUCAUCCCCCCGUGGAGCUGUCCACCUGCUCCCUCUCUGGUCUUACCUUCCACUUCAAGGCAGUGACUUCAUAGAUAUCAUAAAAGUCCUUCAGGCUGCCACAGCAACAGGAAAAGGCAGAACAAAAUUUACAAAAUCAGAUCGCUCCCGCUGAGCUUUACGUGUGUCACUCGCCUGCCUGUGGCCACCUUUGAAGGGGGAAGAGGGGAAGGGGGAGGGGACGGCUGGGAGUCCCAGCAUAUAAGUGGGGGAGGGGGGACCUCCCUGCAGGCAUUCUCACCUUCCCCCAGGCCCUGUGAAUACGUAAUCCUCUCAGUCUAACGGAGUGACAGCUUCAGGCCCCCUGAAUCACUAUAACUCUUACAUGGACGGGCUGAGCCUCCGUUAGCAGAGAACUUAAUGGGACAAAUGGGCUGAGAGUUCAGCCCAAACAGAACGUGCUCAUGCUCGUAUCUGCAGCUGGCCUGCUGCUUCUCAAACUCGGUCAGCAGCCAUCUAGAAGGUCGAGACUGCCCUGGAAAUCUGGGAGGCUGCGCCGUGGUGUGUGUGUGCGUGUGUGCAUGCCUGCAUAUGUGUGUGUAUGUGUGUACAUGUGAGGGUGCGAACACCCCUCUGUGGACCUGCCCAUAUGCAACAACCCCACUCAUUCUUAGCUCAAAGGUGAGCAGCUGCGUCAGUCUACUUCAUGAUCCAAUAUAUUCCGUUUUUUGUCAAGUGAGCCUGAAUUAGAUUUGGGUGGGACUUUUGUCACUUGCAGAGAGAAUCUUGAUGAAAACUAAAGCCUCUAACACAGCGGUUCUCAACCUGUGGGUCGCGACCCCUUUGGGGGUCGAACGACCCUUUCACAGGGGUCGCCUAAGACCAUCG